rnacentral:rRNA from 1 species
UACGAAGGGGGCUAGCGUUGCUCGGAAUUACUGGGCGUAAAGCGCACGUAGGCGGACCAGCAAGUUAGGGGUGAAAUCCCGGGGCUCAACCCCGGAACUGCCUUUAAAACUGUUGGUCUGGAGGUCGAGAGAGGUGAGUGGAAUUCCCAGUGUAGAGGUGAAAUUCGUAGAUAUUGGGAAGAACACCGGUGGCGAAGGCGGCUCACUGGCUCAUAUCUGACGCUCAGGCGCGACAGCGUGGGGAGUCAAACAGG